AGUACUGGAGUGGGUUGCCAUUUCCUUCUCCAGGGGAUCUUCCUGACCCAGGGAUUGAACCCGGGUCUCCUGCAUUGCAGGCAGAUGCUUCACCCUGUAAACCACCAGGGAUUCAUCUCCAUAGGCAACUGCUGUUCCCAAAACUUGACUCUUUGAGUCAGGAUUCAGUGUCUGUCCCAAGAUAUACAUCACAUCUUUCCAAGUAAGGUCAUAAAGCAGAGUAACACCUUUAAAAGCUCUAUGAUCCGAUAGAUUAAGUUAGUACUUCUAAUUCCCAAGGAGUUAUGAAAUGGUCAAAGAGACCGAAAAGUUUGACAGAGAAAGGAGAGUUUGGUCCACACGCUUUGCACAUUUCUCAUCGGUU